GCGGACAUAGCUCAGCGGUAGAGCUCCUGCUUGCCAAGCAGAAGGUCACGGGUUCGAUCCCCGUUGUCCGCU
rnacentral:tRNA from 1 species